rnacentral:rRNA from 1 species
GCCAGCAGCCAUAUCGCCCUGCAACUCACAACUGGCAACCCAGUGAAGCUAAGCAGGUGUGAGCCUGGUCAGUACCUGGAUGGGAGACUCCCGGGAAAGUUGAGGUUGCUGCGGGAA